CUCCAUCAGUCUGGGCUUUAAUCAGCUCUCCAACGCGACAGAUGGUUUAUAACUUCAUUUAUUCAUCUUAAGUGCUUUAGCGGAAGCUUCAUGGAGAGCCUUCGAGGAAGAGAAAACACGGCCUAAUAAAGGCGUCCAGGGGAUUGAUGUUUCAAAUAUAAACUUACACUAGUGUUGUAUACGCUAAUAUAAAAACUAAUAUUUGAUAUAUUUGUUAAAUCUUACCGUGGUUGUAGCUGUGUUGGCUAACUAACGUUACUCAUAAAGCUGGCCUGAGCCACAUGAGGAGACAGGAAAGUUACUCUAACUAUGGGCUAGUAACUAGUUAGUCUAUUACUGACUGUUUAGUGAUGGUUUACAUCGAUUCAGCGGGGAUUAUCCCACCAAAAUAUCUCUAGUUAUCUCCAAACAACCACCACGUCGCUGCAUAAUAACAGACAGAGGUCUGACUAGUUAGCUAGCCACCGUUACUUACAAUAAGAAGCUCAUUUCCGUUAACUUUGCUUCGAGCGAAGCUUCCAGACAGCGUGAAGUCGAGGAUUCCCAACAGAAAUUCUUCACCCAAGUCUUGUUUAAGGAUCAAACCGAUGUAAACAACGUAGUCCCAAAGUUUCAAAACUUUAAUCUAAGCGAACAUGAAACCGCGCUGGAACAGGAAGUGUUUACAACCGCCGCAGAGAAAAAGGAAACAGCAAAGACGACAGAGUCCGAUGUUGUUGCCAAAAUCGCACAGUAUGAGCUGCUAGUGCGAGUGCAGUUAGAGCUGUUAGUGGCGAUGCAGUUAGAGCUGCUAGUGCGAUUAGAGCUGCGAGUGCAGUUAGAGCUGUUCGUGCGAUUAGAGCUGUGAGUGCGAGUGCAGUUAGACCUGUGUGAGUGCAGUUAGAGCUGCUAGUGCGAGUGCAGUUAGAGCUGUGUGAGUGCAGUUAGAGCUGCUAGUGCUAGUGCAGUUAGAGCUGUGUGAGUGCAGUUAGAGCUGUUAGUGCGAGUGCAGUUAGAGCUGCAAGUGCAGUUAGAGCUGCUAGUGUGAGUGCAGGUAGAGCUAUUAGUGCGAGUGCAGUUAGAGCUGCUAGUGUGAGUGCAGGUAGAGCUAUUAGUGCGAGUGCAGUUAGAGCUGUUAGUGUGAGUGCA
ensembl:lncRNA